rnacentral:rRNA from 1 species
UUGACUGUUUUUGCAAAGACAUUGCUUGUUGGUGAAAAUAAUAAGUAAUUUCUGCCCACUGCGGUAUGGUAAAGGGCUGCAGUAUUAUGACUGUAUUAAGGUAGCAUAAUCAUUAGUCUCUUAAUUAGGGACUGGUAUGAAGGGGAAACAAAAAGGUGGUAUAUUUGUGGGCAAGUGAAAUUAAUUAUUGUGUGAAAAAGCACAGAUGACUUUGUUGGACAAGAAGACCCUAAAAAUUUGAUUUUUGCUGCUGGAGACCAUAAAGGAGGCUGGAUUAGUGGGGGUUGCAGUUAAGGAUUUAGCUGGGGCGGCGUAUUAGAGAACAAAAUUUUAUUAUAAUUUAGGAGGGCGAAAGCUAGACCUGAGAGGGUCAAUUGGAUGAUAAAUUACUUUAGGGAUAACAGCGUAAUCAUUUCUGAGAGUUCAUAUUGACGAGAUGGUUUGCGACCUCGAUGUUGGAUUAAGAUAAGAGUCGGUGCAGGAGCCGUCGAUUUGUGGU